AUUGAACGCUGGCGGCAUGCCUUACACGUGCAAGUCGAACGGCAGCACGGGUGCUUGCACCUGGUGGCGAGUGGCGAACGGGUGAGUAGUACAUCGGAACGUACCUUAUCGUGGGGGAUAACGCAGCGAAAGCUGUGCUAAUACCGCAUACGCCCUGAGGGGGAAAGCGGGGGAUCGAAAGACCUCGCGCGAUUAGAGCGGCCGAUGCCUGAUUAGCUUGUUGGUGGGGUAAAAGCCCACCAAGGCGACGAUCAGUAGCUGGUCUGAGAGGACGAUCAGCCACACUGGGACUGAGACACGGCCCAGACUCCUACGGGAGGCAGCAGUGGGGAAUUUUGGACAAUGGGGGCAACCCUGAUCCAGCAAUGCCGCGUGAGUGAAGAAGGCCUUCGGGUUGUAAAGCUCUUUUGUCGGGGAAGAAACACCGGCUCUAACACAGUCCGGGAAUGACGGUACCUGAAGAAUAAGUACCGGCUAACUACGUGCCAGCAGCCGCCGUAA
rnacentral:rRNA from 1 species